ensembl:snRNA U6 U6 spliceosomal RNA
AUGCUCGCUUUAGCUGCACAUGUACUAAAAUUGGAAUGAUACAGAGAUUAGGAUGGCCCUGACCAAGGAUGACAUGCAAAUUUAUGAAGCAUUCCAUAUUUUU